UACGUAGGGGGCAAGCGUUGUCCGGAUUUAUUGGGCGUAAAGAGCGUGUAGGCGGCCAAGCAGGUCCGCUGUGAAAACUCGAGGCUCAACCUCGAGACGUCGGUGGAAACCGUUUGGCUAGAGUCCGGAAGAGGAGAGUGGAAUUCCCGGUGUAGCGGUGAAAUGCGCAGAUAUCGGGAAGAACACCCGUGGCGAAGGCGGCUCUCUGGGACGGUACUGACGCUGAGACGCGAAAGCGUGGGGAGCGAACGAGG
rnacentral:rRNA from 1 species